UCAGCGACUUAUAUUCUGUAGCAAGGUUAACCGAAUAGGGGAGCCGAAGGGAAACCGAGUCUUAACUGGGCGUUAAGUUGCAGGGUAUAGACCCGAAACCCGGUGAUCUAGCCAUGGGCAGGUUGAAGGUUGGGUAACACUAACUGGAGGACCGAACCGACUAAUGUUGAAAAAUUAGCGGAUGACUUGUGGCUGGGGGUGAAAGGCCAAUCAAACCGGGAGAUAGCUGGUUCUCCCCGAAAGCUAUUUAGGUAGCGCCUCGUGAAUUCAUCUCCGGGGGUAGAGCACUGUUUCGGCAAGGGGGUCAUCCCGACUUACCAACCCGAUGCAAACUGCGAAUACCGGAGAAUGUUAUCACGGGAGACACACGGCGGGUGCUAACGUCCGUCGUGAAGAGGGAAACAACCCAGACCGCCAGCUAAGGUCCCAAAGUCAUGGUUAAGUGGGAAACGAUGUGGGAAGGCCCAGACAGCCAGGAUGUUGGCUUAGAAGCAGCCAUCAUUUAAAGAAAGCGUAAUAGCUCACUGGUCGAGUCGGCCUGCGCGGAAGAUGUAACGGGGCUAAACCAUGCACCGAAGCUGCGGCAGCGACGCUGAUGCGUUGUUGGGUA
rnacentral:rRNA from 1 species